CUUUCCUGUUCAAUCAACAGCAACAGGCUCACAAUCAAGAUUCUAUUAUGCAUUUUUCAAGGGCUUUUUCUUGAAGAUUACAUGUCUUGGCAGGAGCUUUCUCCGUUUGCCAGGUCUCACAGACUAAUGGCCUGGGAUUUCGGCUGCAAUGAGAAGAUGUAGAGCACUUUCCUUCCUGAUGGGACCACAGUUGAAGCUGCAACCUGUGGAGAAGCAGAUAAAACACCUGUAAUGUUCAAGGAGACCUACAGAAAAGAAGUUUCUGUUUGUCUUCUGACCUCAAUAAAAUGUUCUUGUUAAGGAUAGCA
rnacentral:lncRNA from 1 species